UGGCGGCUGAUUAGCAUGCAAGUCGAGCGAAUCCCCGCAAGGGGGGAAGCGGCGUAAGGGGCAGUAGGGCGUGGGUAACCUACCCCGGGGUCCGGGAUAGCCCGUCGAGAGACGGGGUAAUACCGGGCGACGCGAUCGAGGGGCAUCCCCCGGUCGCCAUAGGUCCGCCGUCCCGGGCGGGGCCCACGUGGUAUUAGCUAGUUGGUGGGGUGACGGCCCACCAAGGCGAAGAUGCCUAGCGGGUGUGAGAGCACGACCCGCGCCACUGGCACUGAGACACUGGCCAGACACCUACGGGUGGCUGCAGUCGAGGAUCUUCGGCAAUGGGGGCAACCCUGACCGAGCGACGCCGCGUGCGCGACGAAGGCCUUCGGGUUGUAAAGCGCUGUCGAGGGGGAGGAAAGCCCGCAAGGGUGUGACCCAUCCCUGGAGGAAGCACGGGCUAAGUUCGUGCCAGCAGCCGCGGUAAGACGAACCGUGCGAACGUUGUUCGGAAUCACUGGGCUUAAAGGGCGCGUAGGCGGGCUGCCGAGUCCGGGGUGAAAUCCUGCGGCUUAACCGCGGAACUGCCCCGGAUACUGGCGGCCUCGAGUGGGGUAGGGGCGUGCGGAACUCUGGGUGGAGCGGUGAAAUGCGUUGAUAUCCAGAGGAACUCCGGUGGCGAAGGCGGCACGCUGGACCCCGUCUGACGCUGAGGCGCGAAAGCCAGGGGAGCGAACGGGAUUAGAUACCCCGGUAGUCCUGGCCCUAAACGUUGGGGACUAGGUAGUAGGNNNNCAUGGGCUUACUGCCGGGGCGAAAGUGCUAAGUCCCCCGCCUGGGGAGUAUGGUCGCAAGGCUGAAACUCAAAGGAAUUGACGGGGGCUCACACAAGCGGUGGAGCAUGUGGCUUAAUUCGAGGCUACGCGAANAACCUUAUCCCGGGCUUGACAUGUGCGAAAGCGUCUGCAA
rnacentral:rRNA from 1 species